GAAGAAUCUAUUUGUGAAAAGAGGUCAGAUGUUUUGUUCAAAUCGGACAUGGAAGCUUGAUUAUUAUGUGAUGUUGGUUGACAUGAUCCUUUUAUUUGUUAUAAUUGUUUAAUACUUAAUUACAAAAGAGAAAAAGGUUAAUUGCAAUUAUUGUGGAAUGACAAGUGAUUUACAUUCAAAUGCGUGUUCAAAAUUUGUGUGCAUUUGCUUUUGGAAUUGUGGUGUUGAAAAGGAGUUUGUCUGUGCCACUGUUGCUAGCACAUUGAUUUUGAACAAGACGAAAAAGGGUGAUGACUGUCUUCUGCUCUCUAUUUAAUGGGCUUUUACUCACUAUGCUUUAGUUUAUGAGUGGUUUGAUGGUUUGUGAGGGUAAGUCAGCAAAAUAAGCAUAAAAAUAUUACGGAAAGAGUGAACAAUAAUUGAAACCUUAUUCUUGACUCUAAUUUCUAGUGUUCUAGUCUGGCAGAUAUUUUGAAAAGGUCUAACAAUUCAAUCACAAUCAUUAGAGACCUUAAGUUCUUGCAAAA
rnacentral:misc_RNA from 1 species